UGGGGAAUAUUGGACAAUGGGCGAAAGCCUGAUCCAGCCAUGCCGCGUGUGUGAAGAAGGUCUUCGGAUUGUAAAGCACUUUAAGUUGGGAGGAAGGGCAGUAAGCGAAUACCUUGCUGUUUUGACGUUACCGACAGAAUAAGCACCGGCUAACUCUGUGCCAGCAGCCGCGGUAAUACAGAGGGUGCAAGCGUUAAUCGGAAUUACUGGGCGUAAAGCGCGCGUAGGUGGUUCGUUAAGUUGAAUGUGAAAGCCCCGGGCUCAACCUGGGAACUGCAUCCAAAGCUGGCGAGCUAGAGUAGGGCAGAGGGUGGUGGAAUUUCCUGUGUAGCGGAGAAAUGCGUAGAUAUAGGAAGGAACACCAGUGGCGAAGGCGACCACCUGGGCUCAUACUGACACUGAGGUGCGAAAGCGUGGGGAGCAAACAGG
rnacentral:rRNA from 1 species